GGACACGUAGCUCAGUUGGUUAGAGUACCACGUUGACAUCGUGGGGGUCAGAGGUUCAAGUCCUCUCGUGUCCA
rnacentral:tRNA from 1 species